rnacentral:rRNA from 1 species
UACGAAGGGGGCUAGCGUUGCUCGGAAUUACUGGGCGUAAAGGGCGCGUAGGCGGACAGUUUAGUCGGAUGUGAAAUCCCCAGGCUCAACUUGGGAACUGCAUCCGAUACUGGAUGGCUUGAAUUCGGGAGAGGGAUGCAGAACUCCAGGUGUAGCGGUGAAAUGCGUAGAUAUCUGGAGGAAUACCGGUGGCGAAGGCGGCAUCCUGGACCGACAUUGACGCUGAGGAGCGAAAGCUAGGGGAGCAAACGGG